rnacentral:rRNA from 1 species
AGCGAACGCUGGCGGCAUGCCUAACACAUGCAAGUCGAACGAGAUCUUCGGGUCUAGUGGCGCACGGGUGCGUAACGCGUGGGAAUCUGCCCUUUGGUUCGGAAUAACAGUUGGAAACGACUGCUAAUACCGGAUGAUGACGAAAGUCCAAAGAUUUAUCGCCAGAGGAUGAGCCCGCGUAGGAUUAGCUAGUUGGUGUGGUAAAGGCGCACCAAGGCGACGAUCCUUAGCUGGUCUGAGAGGAUGAUCAGCCACACUGGGACUGAGACACGGCCCAGACUCCUGCGGGAGGAAGCAGUGGGGAAUAUUGGACAAUGGGCGAAAGCCUGAUCCAGCAAUGCCGCGUGAGUGAUGAAGGCCUUAGGGUUGUAAAGCUCUUUUACCCGGGAUGAUAAUGACAGUACCGGGAGAAUAAGCUCCGGCUAACUCCGUGCCAGCCGCCGCCGUAA